rnacentral:rRNA from 1 species
GACUCUCAACAAUGGAUAUCUCGGCUCACAUUGAUGAUGAACAUAGCGAAAUGUGGUACUUGGUGUGAAUUGCAGAAACCCGUGAACCAUCGAGUCUUUGAACGCAAGUUACGCCCAAAGCCAUUAGGCCGAGGGCACGUCUGCCUGGGCGUCA